rnacentral:lncRNA from 7 species
AAACCAAGACAAUCGAGAGUGUCGAUGACUCGAGAGCCAUCGCCAAGCAAUCGGGAAGAGAAAGAGAGAGUGCGGAAGCCGCCGCGUCAUCCCUCACCUAUGCUAGCGUUCGAAGUCCAAGGAGUGUUGAUUGUGUACUACACGGCAGUUGCAAAGAUCAGUGAGGCCGACCGUGUAGCCUGGGAUUUCUCGUCGGAGUGUUUUCUCUGCAACUGUGCUACACGGUAUCGUGGACAGGCUCUGCCUCUGCCCUGAGCGCCAGUAAGAAGCCCCUAUCGUUUCACUUUACUUUCAACCUUUCUUUGCACCUUUCUGCUGCAUAAGGACACAGGCUGAGAGCGCUGCUCACUAGCGAGACCGCCGCCAUGGGGCCAGCGCACCACCGUCAUUGGCUAUUGGAAGGACAACAAUGUACAUUGGUCAUUGGAUUUUGAAUGAGUACCUACAAUUAGAUCCCCAUCGUACCGGUUCGAUCACGUGAUCUGAGCCCUCGACUCGGGAUCCAACAAUCUAGAUCCAAUCUUCCUUAAGGCUUUGUUUAAGUACUUUAAUCCACGUGUAUUAAAGUGGAUUUAGGUGUAAAUUAGUUUAAGUUACACCUCAAUCUAUCUCAAUACCUGUGGAACUAGGCCUAAGCCGACUGAACAGUUUUAAUAAAGAGACCCUUAUAGACUCACUAAUUAGCCCAUAGUUCAACUUAGUAUAGGUUUCAUUACAAACCAGUCCUGGUUUUUAGGGUUUGGACCCUAGACUUUUAGAAGACCAAACCCGUAGUCCAUACAGGCUAGUUUUACACAUAGGACCUCAUGUUUAUACGCAUAAUAUGUUGAGACCCUUGGUUUUUAUAAUACAAUAUCUAGAAAUCCAUUUUGAAUAAUAAAAUUAGUCAAAACUUAUUUAAUUCAUAACUUUCACAUUUUAUCUAUGAUUUUAAUGGUUUUUUUAACCUGUGGAUUUGUCUCAAGCGUAGAUAUGUUUUACCUAGUUGUUUUCUUUUUGUUGAUGCAAUGUUAUUUUUAUUUGUUUGUUUGCCUAUUUCUUUGAUGCCGCGAUUAGAGGAGCAAGGUUACGAGGAAUUUGAAGCCCAACCUAUAUAAGCAUAUGAGCAACAAGAGUUUACUAAGAAAGACAAGUUGUGUCCUUGAUUACGUUGUUUGACCUAAUAAUAUUUACUAUUAUGUUCUCAUGCAUUGCAUAGUUAGGUUAAUCUGACAGGACCUAAUAGGUUAUACCUAGAUUUGUUUUCCAUAUGCCUUGUUUACACUUGGGUUACUUAUUAUUUGGUAGAUUUGCUAGUGCUCUACCUAGCUUUUGUGAUAAUGAUACAUUUUAAUCAUGAUCAUGUUUUAUCAUGAUUUAUUAUUGUUGGUUUAUUUAUUAUGCAUGAUAAGAUCACCUUGUUUAAUUGGAACAUAGAGCAACAACCCGAGAAAAUAGGGCAACAACAAGGACUAUUAUGUCUCUGGUCUUGGCUAAUUAAUUAGGGCAGCUAGUGUGUGAGAACCUUACCCGAAAGGGGUUAGCGGGGAAGUGUUGCUCAAGUUUAGGUCGAUUCUCGGACUGAAUUGCUUAUAGACAUCUUAUGAAUAGAGGAAGGCCUCUAUCACCUCAUCUUGAAACCGUAGCGAGUUUUCUCAUACUAGUGAAACUUUGUAAAGCCUCAUAGUGAACCCUGCCACACCUCCUCAAAAGAGGUCAAGGGUGUGGCUAACCGAGGUAGAUAGGUAUCAUGACUUGUGGAUAAAGAUGUGCAACCUCUACAGAGUGUAAACAUGAUAUAUUAGCCAUGCUAACGGUCAAGGCUCAAGAGCGGCUCGAGCCUCUCGUAUGAUUCAAUUAUGGAAAUAAAUUGAAUCAGGACAUGCAUUUUAUUAUUGGUAUUGUCUUUAUAAUCAUUUAUUUAAUUGGGAUGGUAUAUACUUAUACUUAGCAAUGGCUAAUAAAAUUUUGACCAACAAAAUUAAAAGCUAAAUGCUGAGCCUCAGCCAUAUUCCUUAGUAAGCCUUACACUACACUUUUUCCUCACACUUGCUGAGUACACACCAUAAGUGUACUCACCCUUACGGGAUUUGUUACUCAGAAUUAGGUCAUCAAGAAGAAGACUACUAUGAGGAGUUCGAGGACUUCUAGGUCGUCGUUGCUCUGGUCAACCUGCCUUUGGCUUGUGGUCGGGAUCAUCAUCGUCAUCGUGAUUGUUGUUUAGUUUCUAUUAUUUAGUUAUUUUUAAAGAUAUUAUACUUAUACAAUAGAGUUUGUGACACUAGUUUCUAUACACUAAGUCAUCCUAUGUAUGAAACUUAAAUCUGGCACACAUAUGAGAUGUAUCUGGAUUUCUUCUUAAAUCUAGGUGUGACUAUUGGGGGCCUCCCUCUUCCGAAGGUCCUCAAAAACUCAACUAACAUGUUUUUCAGUAUAACAAAGACUGUUACAGGAGGCUUCGGCUUUGAGAUGAAGGUGUGCGUGAUACGAAGGUGCGAUCUGAAGGAAGGAUGAACGAGCGCCAAAGUUGUGGCUAAAGGACCUUCGACUUAGCAUGAUAACGAUGCUGAAAGACGAAACUGAAUUAAAGGAAAAAGACUACAUAGUCCUUGAUAGUUUGCCUUAUGGCUAACAGUAAAUGUCAGGGACAUGAAUGUAAUUCUGCCCGGACUGCGUCCCACGCCUAUAAAUAGAUGAACAGUAACAUCAUAU